rnacentral:tRNA from 1 species
AAUGAGGUGCCUGAAAAAAAGGACAAUCUUGAUAGGAUUGAUCAUGUGCUCUCCCCCCACCCUCAUUA